GAGCAGGAAACAAGCGGAUCUGAAGCAGACCAGGUUAACAAAUGGAUCUGGAUCUGAGCACUCGGAAGGCAGGCACAGGACAGUGACUCGCUGCAAGUGACAGCGCCCAGGGGAACAAACGCCGCUUGUUCCCGGCUGGCCGCACUUCCGCCUCCUCCCCUCCCAUUCAAUCCCAGCGCCGCCGAUGCUCCCUCCAUCUCCAUGCCAUGCGGGCUCCGAACACUUUUACCACGGUGAGGGAAGCACCGUGGAGAAAGCAUGUGAUCACACGAAGCAGAUGCCACGGGAGAAAUGGCCAGAUCCACUGAACUUCGUCCAGGAUGAUAUUUACAUCCUUCCUGGAAUAAAUCAAAAUCUUUAGAGCGUUUUCCUGAGAAGGAGGAAAUAAACCUGUCUGUUGGAUGAAGUCAUGACCAACUGAGAGGCAACUGGGUCAGAAGUUGAGUGGGAAGAAGGAGGGACAGCUUUUUCAGCUCAUAGCUCAGACAUAGCCCUUCUUGGACAAUUUGCUUUGCAAUUUAACAUUUUUGUAUCUUUUCCUGAUAAGAAUAAAGAAAACUGCCCAUUGC